rnacentral:sRNA from 1 species
UAUCUGCCACCCCAUUGAUCUCCAGGGUUGGUUUAGCUGAUGUGGUUGGCUAGGAGAUA